AUUGAACGCUGGCGGCAGGCCUAACACAUGCAAGUCGAACGAGUGGCGGACGGGUGAGUAAUGUCUGGGAAACUGCCUGCUGGAGGGGGAUAACUACUGGAUACGGUAGCUAAUAACGCAUACCAUCAGAUGUGCCCAGAUGGGAUUCGCUUGUUGGUGGGGUAACGGCUCACCAGGGCGACGAUCCCUAGCUGGGCUGAGGGGAUGACCAGCCACACUGUAACUGAGACACGGUCCAGACUCCGAGGGGAGGCAGCAGUGGGGAAGAUUGCACUAUGGGCGCAAGCCUGAAGCAGCCAUGCCGCGUGUAUGAGGAAGGCCUUCGGGUUGUAAAGUGCUUUCAGCGGGGAGGCGUUACGCGCAGAAGAAGCACCGGCUAACUCCGUGCCAGCAGCCGCGGUAAUAC
rnacentral:rRNA from 1 species